UUGAAACACUGGUUUCUGUAUGAUCACUGAAGUUAAGCAAUUUUGAGCCUGGACAGUACCUGGAUGGGUGACAACUUGCAUAUACCAGGUGAUGUA